rnacentral:rRNA from 1 species
UCAGGCCUAACACAUGCAAGUCGAACGCCCUCUUCGGAGGGAGUGGCAGACGGGUGAGUAACGCGUGGGAACCUACCUAUCAGUACGGAACAACUCAGGGAAACUUGUGCUAAUACCGUAUACGUCCUUCGGGAGAAAGAUUUAUCGCUGAUAGAUGGGCCCGCGUUAGAUUAGCUAGUUGGUGAGGUAACGGCUCACCAAGGCGACGAUCUAUAGCUGGUCUGAGAGGAUGAUCAGCCACACUGGAACUGAGACACGGUCCAGACUCCUACGGGAGGCAGCAGUGGGGAAUAUUGGACAAUGGGCGCAAGCCUGAUCCAGCCAUGCCGCGUGAGUGAUGAAGGCCCUAGGGUUGUAAAGCUCUUUCAACGGUGAAGAUAAUGACGGUAGCCGUAGAAGAAGCCCCGGCUAACUUCGUGCCAGCAGCCGCGGUAAUACGAAGGGGGCGAGCGUUGUUCGGAAUCACUGGGCGUAAAGCGUACGUAGGCGGAUAGAUUAGUUAGGGGUGAAAUCCCGAGGCUCAACCUCGGAACUGCCUCUAAUACUGUCUAUCUAGAGAUCGAGAGAGGUGAGUGGAAUUCCUAGUGUAGAGGUGAAAUUCGUAGAUAUUACGAAGAACACCAGUGGCGAAAGCGGCUCACUGGCUCGAUACUGACGCUGAGGUACGAAAGCGUGGGGAGCAAACAGGAUUAGAUACCCU